GGCAAUGUAGCAUAGUGGUAAGGAGCAGGGCUCACAACUGAAAGGUUGCUGGUUCAAUUCCCGGCUAUGACA